UUUUUAUCUUCUUCGCUGGAACAAAACCACAGAACAGAUGCAGAGAAGAGGAGGGAGCGUGCAGAACUUUCAGGGGCAGUGACGAGAAGCUCCGUGCAUGUCCGCGAAAACCCGACUCCGCGGUCAUCUUCUCCUCUCCUACCGCUUCCUCUGGGGCUUAUGGAGACUGAGCUUUGCACCUCGAAGAAUCGACCCAAUGAAAUAUCUUUGAGUAUGCAAUAAGCUUCCGAUUGCGCGGAGGAAUCACUUUUUGAUAUCGGGGAUCAGCUUGGAGGACUAGGUAGGAACCUUAGUUAUUUGAUAGAUAUCCUUUUUGUAUAGAAUGGACUUGAGAAUGUUACGACUUGAAAAUUUUGUUUAGUUAUAUCACUGAUGUGAGAGCGAAAAAGAAAUCUUCGGAAAAGUGUAUAUACCUAUUAGAGUUGAUGGAUUGGUUAUAUACUUUGGAAAUUUAUGAGAAGUAAGUUUUUAUAUGAUAA